rnacentral:lncRNA from 1 species
UUUCUGAUCUACACAGCCCUGUUUGCAACUUGAACUUGACUCCCAUGAGUGGUCCCAGAAAGCAGUUGCUAGGAGGAAGGUCGGGAUGGCAAGUCUAAACUAGUUCGCUAACCCCAGUCUAGGAUAACAGGGCUUGGUUAGUAUACUCCAGAGCCAACUGAGGGGGUUGGAAGAAGGAAGGGAAGCCAAAAGCUUCAAACCUGUGCUGGACCACGGGUGGUCCAAAUGCCUUCCAGAAUAGACUUAUCAAGUCCUGGCAACUCCCACCUGCCCUGAGACCUUCAUGUCCACUGGCCAGCAGAGCUGGCUUAAAGAGACAUUGAAAAUGAUAUGAUCUUCAUCCUCAGGAGCUCAAAGCCUCAUGGGGAAUUGUCAAGAACAUGAUCAUUUCAUUUCAACAAAAAGCAGCAUUGAGAGACAUUCAAAGAAUAACUAACUGCACGAGAAGAAUGUUGCCAAAAACCAAAAAACAAACAAACAAAAAAAAAACUCUGUUUUUCUCUCCUGGUCUUUGUUUUCUCCAUUACAGUACCAGAGUAAUAGCUUUGUAGUGUUGCAAUGAUGAAAUACAGGAAAAACAAAAGGAAAUAUAUAUAUAUAUAUAUAUAUUCUUCCUUCCAUAUAUGUAUAUAAUGUUACAAAUAAUGAAGAAUAUACUAAAGUGACAUGGUGUUGAUUUUUAAUGCACUGUGUUGGUAGUGUUGUUUGGAAAAUGCAUCAAGAGUGCAUUUAGUUUUUUGCCUGUCAGUAAUCCAUGCCAUUUGAUGCUUUUUGCUUAAGUGGUGCUUUCAUGGGUUUUAGUGUCUCCCUAGGCUAGCAUGCUGAAGUCCAGAUUCACCAGCCUGCCUUUAAAACACCCAUGCAGGCUGGGCUGAUACCUCAGUAAAGUGUUUGCAAGGCAAGCACCUGAGUCGGAUCUCACAUUAAAAGGGGGGAGGGCAUGGUGCUGCUGCUUCUGAUCCCACUGCUGAGGAGGGGGGACAGAAGUCAGGCUUGCUGGCCUCCCCUAGAGCCAGCUCCAGGCCAAUGAAAGAAAGAGUAGACAGUAUCUGAGGGAUGAUCUGUGAGGUUGUCCUCUACACUCCAUAAGCACAUGCACACACAUGUUUGUGCAAACACAUGCACAUUUAUGCACAUCCACAUUCUCCUUGCCCAGACGUGAUCCCCAGGGGUUCUGAUUUAAUUGAAAGGGGCCUAGGUGUUAAAAUGUUUGAAAGGCUCUCCAGGAGUUUCUGUUGUAAAGGCAAUCCAGAGAGUGAAGGCUAAGGAGCCUCAUUCCACUGUCAGAUGGCAAGAUGUUUAUUAAACCCAAAUAGUUGUAGCAGCAGCACAGCAGGGGUGGGCCUUAAAUGACCUUGCUUUGUUUAGUAGGCAUUCUAUGGAGUAUCACACUGUACCUUAUAAACAUGUACUUCUGAAAUUAUAAUCUUUAAAGCAAUUUAAAAUUUUGAUGUUUAUAUCUACAUAAACAAUGAAUCAGGAAAAUAAUUAAAAUUAUACAAACAGGC